rnacentral:rRNA from 1 species
UUGCCCCAGUAACGGCGAGUGAAGCGGCAAUAGCUCAAAUUUGAAAUCUGGCUCUUUCAGGGUCCGAGUUGUAAUUUGCAGAGGGCGCUUUGGCGUCGGCAGCAGCCUAAGUUCCUUGGAACAGGUCAUCAUAGAGGGUGAGAAUCCCGUAUGUGGCUGCUUGUCUUCGCCGUGUAAAGCCCCUUCGAUGAGUCGAGUUGUUUGGGAAUGCAGCUCUAAAUGGGAGGUAAAUUUCUUCUAAAGCUAAAUAUUGGCCAGAGACCGAUAGCGCACAAGUAGAGUGAUCGAAAGAUGAAAAGCACUUUGGAAAGAGAGUCAAAAAGCACGUGAAAUUGUUGAAAGGGAAGCGCUUGCAGCCAGACGUGCCCGUAGUUGCUCAUCGGGGGUUCUCCCCCGUGUACUCUUCUAUGGGCAGGCCAGCAUCAGUCCGGGCGGUUGGAGAAAGACCUGUGUCAUGUAGCUGUUUUCGGGCAGUGUUAUAGGGCAGGUGGAAUGCAACCAGCCUGGACUGAGGUCCGCGCAUCUGCUAGGAUGCUGGCGUAAUGGCUGUAAGCGGCCCGUCUUGAAACACGGACCAAGGAGUCUAACAUCUAUGCGAGUGUUUGGGUGU